rnacentral:rRNA from 1 species
UACGUAAGGGGCAAGCGUUAUCCGGAUUUACUGGGUGUAAAGGGAGCGUAGGCGGUAUGGCAAGUCAGAUGUGAAAGGCAGGGGCUCAACCCCUGGACUGCAUUUGAAACUGUCAAACUAGAUUGCAGGAGAGGUAAGUGGAAUUCCUAGUGUAGCGGUGAAAUGCGUAGAUAUUAGGAGGAACACCGGUGGCGAAGGCGGCUUACUGGACUGUAAAUGACGCUGAGGCUCGAAAGCGUGGGGAGCAAAC